UACGAAGGGGGCUAGCGUUGCUCGGAAUUACUGGGCGUAAAGGGCGCGUAGGCGGAUGUCUAAGUCAGAGGUAAACGCCCAGGGCUCACCCUUGGAACUGCCUUUGGUACUGGACAUCUUGAGUACGGGAGAGGUGAGUGGAACUCCGAGUGUAGAGGUGAAAUGCGUAGAUAGGCGGAGGAACACCAGUGGCGAAGGCGACUCACUGGCCCGUUACUGACGCUGAGGCGCGAAAGCGUGGGGAGCAAACAGG
rnacentral:rRNA from 1 species